rnacentral:lncRNA from 1 species
CAAGCUACUGAGUGCAAAUCUUCAAUUGCAACUACUUUCUGCGAACUUCUGAUCGACCAUUGCAGAAUCCAACUAAUUGUUUCUUCAGACUUCUUCAGAGCAUUCUCCAGGACACUUCGAACGAAACAUGGCGAACGCGACGUCGGGUGUGGCGGUGAGCGAGGAGUGCAAGGCGAGGUUCCAGGAGCUGAGGGCGGGGCGGGCCCACAGGUUCGUGGUGUUCAAGAUCGACGACGCGAUGCGGCAGGUGGUGGUCGACAGGGUGGGCCCACGCGACGCCGGCUUCGACGAGCUCACCGCCAGCCUCCCCGCCGACGGCUGCCGCUACGCCGUGUACGACCACGACUUCACCGUCAGCGACGCCACGGCCACGGCGGCCGCCGGCGAGGGCGGCGAGGCGCCGCGCAGCAAGAUCUUCUUCGUGUCGUGGUCGCCGGCGGCGGCGGACGUGAGGAGCAAGAUGGUGUACGCGAGCUCCAACGAAGGGUUCAAGAAGGAGCUCGACGGCGUCCAGAUCGACCUGCAGGCCACCGACCCCAGCGAGCUCACCCUCGACGUGCUCAAGGACCACACCUCCUAAUUAAUCACGCCGUUAAUUACCUCGAUUUUCCAAGUAAUUACGUUGGCAUUGCAGCCCAUGUGUAUGUGUGGUUUGUACGGCUUGCUUGGUGUUUGGAUUGUGUACGUGUGUGGUUAAUUUACAUUACGCGAAUAAUAAAGAGACGAUUAAACCGGUGAUCGGUC